CUACAUGGCCAAUUUGUACCAAAAGUUAUGAACAUUUACAACACAUGGUUAAUUUAUCGACCAAGUUUUUAACCUACCAAUUACCAACAAACAUGUCUAAUGUCAAAUUUGUAUCUACAAAGCUUCUGACAAGUUUUUUCAUAAGAUAUUAUCAAAUUUAUUUAAGUAUAUUAUUUCUAUUUAAAUCCUUUAAUCCAGAUAAGUAUGUAUGUCGAUGACAUCUUAUUAAGUUGAACCUUCAUACAUAUCACCAACAAUCUCAAUUUCAUCCUCUUUAUCAUUACCAAUUCAAUUACACCUCCACCUCUACAUUCAUACUCUAUUCAUUGCACCAUCUUUAGUUUUGCAUCCCACCACCUCCACAUCUUCUCAUCUUAUAGAUGUACUCUGCCUCAAACAAGAGCAACUUACAUACAUUUAAAACAAAAAUAUAAGUUUUCUUGCUCUUCAUGCCCAUUUCUAAAGGCUGGAAUUCAUAGGGUCUUGUAUUGUGACUACCUUAUCUUUUAAUAAGUAUACCUUUGAAUUGCAUUACCAUACAUUAUUUUAGUUUUUUUGCAUAAAUUUAAAAAAUAAUCAUCUAUAGAGGUUAUAAAUUAAGUCAAAUACUUUUGGAAAUAGACUGUAACUUCACAUCAAGAAAGAAAGCCAUAGAGUGAAAGAAAAAGAUUGUGUGUGUGUAUAUAUAUAUAUAUAUAAAUGUGUAUUCACCAUACACAAACCAGAACUGUAGAUGCAGAAUGGACUCUUAACUUGCACAACUUGGUUGUAAGGCUGCCGUAGAGGUGUCGGCAUUCGUUGACUUCUGUCAAUGCACAACCCUCAAAGACCACAGCCAGGCCAAUUCGAGAGUUGGCAUUCGAGUUUCCAUAGUUGAUUCUAAUCUCAUGUCCUUAGAUUUGCACCUGUCAUCACUUUGUGGUGUCAGUGAGCUAAAUCUCACGUCGGUGGAGCUUGGUGUGAAAUCAGACAGCAACGGUGACAAAUGUGGAUUUAGGUUUGCAGGAGAGGGAGUGCUAGUAGGUCGAGGAGAAAUCAAGGAUGACUCUGUAGCUUGGAGCUCCAACGUAU
rnacentral:lncRNA from 1 species